rnacentral:rRNA from 1 species
AGGUGCUGCACGGCUGUCGUCAGCUCGUGUCGUGAGAUGUUGGGUUAAGUCCCGCAACGAGCGCAACCCUCGUGUUUAGUUACUAACAGUUCGGCUGAGGACUCUAGACAGACUGCCUGGGUAACCAGGAGGAAGGUGAGGACGACGUCAAGUCAUCAUGGCCCUUACGGCCAGGGCUACACACGUGCUACAAUGGGGUAUACAAAGAGCCGCAAUACCGCGAGGUGGAGCAAAUCUCAUAAAAUAUCUCCCAGUUCGGAUAGCAGUCUGCAACUCGACUGCUUGAAGUUGGAAUCGCUAGUAAUCGUGAAUCAGCAACGUCACGGUGAAUACGUUCCCGGGUCUUGUACUCACCGCCCGUCACACCAUGGGAAUUGAAUUCAUUCGAAGCGGGGAUGCUAAAAUAGCUACCUUCCACAGUGGAUUUAGUGACUAGGGUGAAGUCGUAACAAGGUA